UUUUUUUUGUUGUUUUUUUUUUGCUGCUUAGGGCCACAUCCGGGCAUAUGGAGGCCCUAAAAGAAAAAGAAAAAGAAAAAAUCUCAUUAAUUUCCAUAGCCUUCCAUUCCAUAGCUUUCUAUUCUAGCCCAUUGCUUUACAAUUCUCUUUUAUCAUGAAUGUGUGUGUUGCACAUGCCUGUGUGGGAUGAAAGUCUGUACUUUUAUUUAGGACACUAGCCCUUUUGUUCUCUCACCCCUUAGUCAAUGAUCACAAUAGCAGCAAAAAUGUAUUAGCACGUGCAAAGCUCUGUGCUAAGUGUUUAUAUGCUUCAGUCUCUCACUCCUCCCCAUAGCUUUGUGAGUCAUCACUCUUAUUACCUAACUUGGGCAGAUGAGGAAACUAAGGCUCAGAGAGGUGAAGCAACUGGUGUAAGGUCACACUUUUUGCAGUGUCAGUCCUAGAAUUUGUUGUUGUUGUUGAAAUAUAGUUGAAGAAAAGAUGUUUCCUUAACUUCCUUUACAAUCCAAUGGUCUGGACAAAAAGAAUGAAAAUCAGGUUGGAAGUGAGGAGGAUGGGUCAGAAUAAUAAUAAUAGCCAACUCCAAAAGUGUCUUUAUUGAAGGGACAAUGCAUUUUCAGAGUUUUAAAAAUCUUGUUAGAAGAUCCCAGAUUUAAAAAAAAAAAAAGAGGUCAUGAAGAAGCAUCUGCAACAAAACACUGAUAUCUUUUUUUUUUUUUUUAGUCGUGCCUAUGGCAUGCAGAAGUUCUCAGGCCAGGAACUGAACCCUUGCCACAGCAGUGACCUGAGCUGCUACAGUGACAAUGCUGGAUCUACUGCGGCACAAGGGAACUCCAAAACACUUAUAAAUUUCGGUUUUGGAUUAUAAGUGGUAAUUGUCUGUACCAGCUACAUGAAAACAAGCACAAUGUUUGUAAAGUCUGUUAAGAUUAAAAAAAGAAAGUACCAUACAAGUGUGAAAUACAAAUAAAAACCUAAAAAUCAUAUACAAGAAAAAUGGCAUCAACAUACCAAGAAUUUAAAUGAACAUCAGGUUUAGUGCAAAUCUCCCAGCAAUGAAAGCAAAAAGGAAAUUUUAAUGAGUUGGAUGUCUAAAUUUGAUGACAUCAUCUGCCAUAGGAAGGAAAUUAUUUCUGCUUUAGUUUUCCAUAGAAAUUUCCCCCUUGCCCUGUGCUGUCCCAAGCAAACACCUAAUACAAACACUUCAGACUUUAUUUCUUUACAUGAAAACUCAAAUAUCACCCUAGGCAUAUCGCUCAGUAUCCAGCAGUCUUUUGACUUCAACAUGUUGAGACUUUCUGAUUUUGAUUAAAACACACACGUGAGAAAUUCAUGAAUGUACUGUGUUUCCUGCAAGUCAUUCCUAAAUGCCUCGCAUGGCCUCUACCAACAGGCGAAAACUUAUUUAAUUCUGUCCUGAGGAGAUGAGACCAGCAGCAUGUAAGGCGAUAGCCUUGAAAAAUAAGGGUUCAAAGCCGGCAUCUCGCCCGGGAGCUUUGUCCUCACGCAGACCCUGAAUCCUAAGCUACACUCAGUUAGCAACCUGAGAACCAGCCUCUCCAAACACAGGGCACUUCAACACGAUGCCUUGAAAGGGAGGAAACCACUGCUUUCUCUCUCUCUUUCAUGCACUAUCAAGCUUCCAUGAAUGACAGGUUUCAGGUCUUUCCUUAGCUGUUUUUAAUAGGUUUAAAACCCCGAGGCUGCUGAUCUGUGAUUAUAUAAACAUAUAUUUUUGUCGAGAUACACAUUUUCUCAAAUCUAAAUAAAUAGCACCUUUUCAGUUUGCAAUUGGCCUUUUAUCAGGAGUCAUUCCUCCCCUCGCUUUUUAUAAAAACAGUCUGGGCUUUGUUAUCCUCCUUCAAAGUCCUUUUUAAAGAAGAAAAAACAGUAUAUGUAUUAGAGAUCCAGUAAGCUUUCAUGUCCUGUGUCAAUUGCUCUCUGCCAAGAAACCCAUUUUAAAUGUUUUAUUUCCCCCCAAAAUUUGUGUAAAGGAACCAAGUGGAUAUUAUUCUUUAAAUCUAAGUUUCAACGGCUUAAUGAGUGGAGCCAAUUGAAGUAAAUCAUAAUUGCUAAACAGGAUUAAGUUUACAGCAGCCUUGAGAAAGUCUUCAGAAAAGCACAACACAAAAAUAGACCCAGACAACGGAAACACAUUUGCAUGGAGCUGCUGUCCCAAGCCUCUUUUCUCUAAAAUGCCGGUAUUAUGAAUCAAUGUGCAUAAAACAGUAACCUUCGUGGUCCUGCGUUUUCACUUGAUCCAUAUUAUUUAUGUUCCACACUCUAUUAUGUAACUGGCAAACAUUUUCAAACAGUAAGGCUCACAUGCCACCAACGGUGAUGUACAAUCAGGCUGAAUUGCUUUCUUCUGCAUUAGGAAAUUAGGGCGAUCCCACUCCGUCCUACUCAUUUGUACACCCUUUGUACUACACAAUUUAUCUUCAGACUAAUGGAUUUUAUGCAGGUGAUCAAAAAUUGUGAGCUUAUGUCUCGACUCAAUUAGCUAAAUUAUUUCUUACCAUUUCAAAUCAUAGCCUAAGGCUCCACGAGACAGCAACUGAGAACAAAUGUAAAAGUGGGAGCAUGCAUGCUCAGACAUCAGACGUGGAGUAAGAAAAUCCCCAGCCUUAUAAGAUCCAGAAACCAGCCUGCUCUACCAUGUGUAAGCCCCUCCACCACCAACUAUUGACUUACACUCACUUUCAGGUUUUUAAUAAAGCCCAGAGUUAGAGCAAACACUUUGGGGCAAUGUUUCCCAAGGAACCUUUGUCAGAACACUAUUCUGCCGGAUGCUCAGGAAAAAAGGGGGGGUUUUGGUCUCAUAAGUUUGGGAAAUGUGCAUUUCGCUAAUCUCAUUAGCGUAUUAAAAGCUCCCAGAAGUCCUACAUAAAACUUAGCUAACUUAGCUGAGCCUCCUGUUUCCCAAAAUUAAGAGGCCACAGAUUCUCAUUUUCAACAUAAUAUUCUGUGGAACCAAGUCUCUGCCAGGAUCCACUUUGGGAAACUCAAAUUGAGAGCACCGAAUUGGCUCCCUGCUUAAAUUUUUUCUAAUUUAAGUUGGACAUUACAUUAUUUAUAAAUAAUCCACUCUGCCUCUGUGGAGAGAGCCAUAAUCUCUAGAGUUUUUGUGGAUGAUGUCUGUUUUAAAUGUUUUUUACAGAAUUUCUUUUGGUGCUUAAGCAACUUGCUCAUUUGGGGUCUAAAGCAUGCGUUCUCCAUCACUGUCCUCCCGGGUGAAAAGUUGUCAGAAUGUAUUCUGUUGACCUGUUACUUGCAACUUUUACCAAUGCUUAAAUUUCCCCAACAUGGAAGCAAACCUCACUUAACAGUCUCUGCUUGAUUAGUAUCAAGGCAGCCAAGUGAACUGUUUAAUACUCACUCUCAAUCUGUUGAAUCCAGUUCCAGGGCCUCUGCAACAAAGACACACACGAUUAAUUACAAAGCUUCAGAGAUCUGAUUCCCUCGCCGGAGUCCUCAGAUACAGUGUCCCAUGUGAUUGAUCAAGCAGCCUCUUUCCACGGACCCUCCCUUCCCCCAAUUCAGAAAGCUGCAAAGGAUGCCUCCAAAAUCAAUGGGAUUCAGCAAGGACCUAGCAUAAUAAAGUCUUAGCUCCAAAACGCUAAGUUUUGCCAGAGCAUAUGGGAUUAUAAAAGCAAAUGUGUAUUCUGCAUAAUAUUGUGUCACAUUAUCAGGCACAUUUUUUAAAAAGGCAACACCCACAGGUCUGAACAACUUCAGUUUUAUGCAAAUUCUGCAAGCACUAAGACGUGCUUACUUGUCACUUUUUUGUUGUAUCAGCACAGCGCCCCAGGGAGGAAUCGUGUCUCAUUUUGCUUUGCCAUUAUUAGUGUCUACCUUUACAAAAAAACUCUCCCCGCUUGCUAAAGGAACUUCUGGCUCUGGACGAGAGUUCUCUGCUCACAUCCUUCUUUUGUGACUGGCAGACAGGAGCUUCUGUGAGUACAAUGAUGCAACUGAAUCCUCCUUGGGAAUUCAAUAUGCUGUAC
rnacentral:lncRNA from 1 species